AACGAACGCUGGCGGCAUGCCUAACACAUGCAAGUCGAACGAGACCUUCGGGUCUAGUGGCGCACGGGUGUGUAACGCGUGGGAACCUGCCCUUAGGUUCGGAAUAACUCCCCGAAAGGGGUGCUAAUACCGGACAAUGUCUUCGGACCAAAGAUUUAUCGCAUUUGGAUGGGCCCGCGUUGGAUUAGCUAGUUGGUAGGGUAAAAGCCUACCAAGGCGACGAUCCAUAGCUGGUCUGAGAGGAUGAUCAGCCACACUGGGACUGAGACACGGCCCAGACUCCUACGGGAGGCAGCAGUGGGUAAUAUUGGACAAUGGGCGAAAGCCUGAUCCAGCAAGGCCGCUUGAGUUAUGAAGGCCUUAGGGUUGUAAAGCUCUUUUACCCGGGAUGAUAAUGACAGUACCGGGAGAAUAAGCUCCGGCUAACUCCGUG
rnacentral:rRNA from 1 species